GGACCCGCACAAGCGGUGGAGCAUGUGGUUUAAUUCGAUGCAACGCGAAAAACCUUACCUACACUUGACAUACUUCGAAUUUUCUAGAGAUAGAUUAGUGCCUUCGGGAGCGAAGAUACAGGUGCUGCAUGGCUGUCGUCAGCUCGUGUCGUGAGAUGUUGGGUUAAGUCCUAUAACGAGCGCAACCCUUACCCUUAUUUGCCAGCGGUUAGGCCGGGAACUAUAAGGGAACUGCCGGUAAUAAGCCGGAGGAAGGUGGGGACGACGUCAAGUCAUCAUGGCCCUUACGUGUAGGGCUACACACGUGCUACAAUGGCAAGUACAACGAGUCGCAAUACCGCGAGGUG
rnacentral:rRNA from 1 species